AGCGAACGCUGGCGGCAGGCUUAACACAUGCAAGUCGAGCGGGCAUCUUCGGAUGUCUGCGGCAGUCGGGUGCGUAACACGUGGGAACGUCCCCUUAGGUUCGGAACAACUCUGGGAAACUGGAGCUAAUACCGGCUACGCCCUCAUGGGUAAAGGUUUACUGCCGAAGGAGCGGCCCGCGCCUGAUUAGCUAGUUGGUGGGGUAACGGACUACCAAGGCGAGGAUCAGUAGCUGGGCAGAGAGGAUGAUCAGCGACACUGGAGAUGGGACACGGUCGGGACUCCUAGACGAGGGGGGAAUGGGUAAUACAGGAAAGUGGGGUGAGGGCAGAAGGUCCUAGGAUUGGAGAGUAAUGAAGGUCUGGAGGAAGUAAAGCACGUUAGUCCGGGACUGUAAUGACGGUACCGAAAGAAUAAGCCCCGGCUAACUUCGUG
rnacentral:rRNA from 1 species